AGCGCCACCUGGGAAGAUCAUUAUUUUCUCUAAAAACAGUUAAGAUUGUUGUUUGGAUCCCCAGGCAAGACUAUAAAAUUCUAUAAAAUGUACAAAGUAAUUAAAAAUAUAAGGCCAGUCUAAUGAUCAGCUCUGCCAUGUUUCUCAAAGGGAUUCACGUUUCCCUGUGGAGCCGGUCUGAAAUCUGCUCCAGGAGGAGGACGAGGUAGGAGGGAGGAGGUGAGAGGUGAAGGAGCGGCAGCAGGAGGCCCCGAAGUGCAGAUGUGGAAAUCUGGGUCCUGCCGUUCCCCACUCUGGGUUCUUCCUCCCUGCUUCCCCUCAUGCCUCUGGGCAGCUGACAUCUGGCCCCAUGCCUGCUCUCUCAUAAUCCCUGCUCCAAAAUGACCUCUUCACAUUUUCCAACAAAUUGCCUCUUCUCUCACUGACCCCAGUUAGGGCUUGUGAAAGUGAAAACGUUAGUUGCUCAGCUGUGUCUGACUCUUUGAACCCCAUGGAUUGUAGCCUGCCAGGCUCAUCUACCCAUGGAAUUCUCCAGGCAAGAAUACUGGAAUGAGUUCUUAUUUCCUUCUGUAAGGGAUCUUCCCAAACCAGGGAUCAAACCUGGGUCUCCCACAUUGCAGGCAGAUUCUUUACCAUCUGAGCCACAGGUGGUACUUGUGGGGAAAACCUUUUCGAAUUAAUUUUGAGAGAGAGAACGCAACUUAGAUUUCUCAAAGUUGCUGAGACUUCAAGAAGAAACUCAGUUAAGCCUCUGUCCAUCGGAGGGGUUUUAGGCAGAGUGAGGUGGUCACAGUUCUUAUAUCAUGUGGGAGAGAGAUUUUUGGUCAGAGGACCCACCCCAAGCUCACACUCGGGAGUGCAUCUCCUUAGCAGCUUCUUGAGGCUCUUUCCCUUUGAUGGAGUCCUGCUGUCUCCACAUCUCUCGGCCCUGUGUUUAUCAGGGCCAGGCCCCGGCAGAGGUGGUCAGUACGCUUCCAGCAUCCUCUCUGCAUCCCUUGCCUUCCUCGUUUCCUUCCAGUCUUGCUGGGCCAUGUGAUGAGUGCUGCUGGGCUGAGUGGAAAGCCCAAGCUCAUUCUGGAGAGAGUAGUUAAGAGCCAGUGUGAGCCUCCAACUCAGGCCCCUUCUUUCAUCUUAGUGUCUCCAUGGGAGGGGCUGCCUAGGAGGCCCCUGGGCCCACACCUGCUGUGACCUGAUGCAGAGAAUCCUUGGUCCUGCUGCUGACUGGGGUUUCCUUGUUUCCACGUAGUCUAGCCUGACCAGAUGGACGAUGUAGACAGUGGGGAAGGGAUUUACUGCGGGGGGGAGAAAUGGAAAGGGCAAGUCAGUUCACCUUGCUGGGACCUGAAUCUGAGGAAGGCUGGGACUGUCCCUUAGGAGGAUGAUCUACACACACAGUAUGUGCAUGAUAAAGCGACCAAAGAGAGCCAACGAGGUGAGCAUCUGGCCUGCUUCUCUGGGAAACCUUUAGGAAGAAGAUUGUAAACCAGACAAGACAGUCUUCCCGCAGGAUCACAGGCAGAAACCAACACAGGCUGCCUGCUGGGCUUUGAAGGAGCAGGUCCCAAAGCUGAGCACAUACGCCCUCUUCCUGCCAGCAGACAGCAGAGGCGCCUGGCCAAGUCCGUGGAGAAGGAGCCCGUCCCCCUCUGACUCAGCGCCUCCCCAGGCUUAGCCGGCUGCCAGCCGCCACCUGGACGAGCAAGGACAGUUCCCACUCCAGCUCUUCUGCCCUGCGGGCCACCCAGGCUCUCCUGGCCUCCAGUGCCAGGGCCUGGCUGCUCUGCAGGGCCCAGGGUCUCAGGUUCUUUCCAUGGGGGACGCCUGCCUCUCCCUGGUGGGGUCUGUCUUCAUGCUGCUCAGAGGGGCAGAUCCUGGGAACCACCUGGAAAGGACACGAAUGGAGGAGGCGAUGGGACUCUGCAAGCCCUGAGCCUACCCUGUGACCCCCUGUGACCCUGGUCACUCUGACAGACUCUGGGCAAUACCCAGCUGAACCCUGGGGAAGAUGCCAACAGGCUACGUCCAGGGACUGGCCUCAUGCUCAUUCAUGCACAAUAGCAACUAAUUAUUUCAUUACACAAUCAUCACGUUUAAUAAUUUGGAACAAUUAUUAAACAAUUAAAUCUUUUCGUAGCCCCUCAGCUCAUCCUGUUUGUCCCUUCUUUAAUACCGGGGAUAUUAACA